rnacentral:lncRNA from 1 species
CUUCCUCUCCCAUCCCUGGCUCAUCUCGAUUUUUCACGAUCACAGAGUUUUAUUUGGAAAAUCUUGUCCUCACUGAAAAGAAGAUGGCAGCUAACAGCUUAAUAUGCUGUAUUUCUGGGGGGGAAAUGUGUUUUCCUUGUCGUAGGUGAAUAUAGUCUUGUGCCUUUCACUGCCAGGUGGGAAGUUUGCCCCCGAGUUCUGAUUCUACAACCCUUGAUCUUUGUAAGAACUUCACCAAGUGCAGUUCCCUUGCCUGUGCAGAAGGUACCUUCUCCACCCAUUCGAAGCCCUUCUAUUUUGUCCUAGAGGGGAAACCAUACAUGGAUUGUUCACACUGGAGGCGGAUGUGAUAUCCAACACAAAGCAUCACAUUUUACAGAUGAGGAAAUUGGGGCAAGAAAAGAAAACCCUGCUGAGGUCACACAUUACUUAAGGGAUGAGCUGAGACUAACACCAGGUCUGCUGACUUCAGAUAUUCUCAGCAGUAGCCUGGACUUCCUGCUGAAGAACAUACAGACAGCCCCAAAAUGCACCACAUGCUUGCAUUUCCCAGCACCUGUAUUUAACAUACAGACAGCUCCAAAAUGCACCACAUGCCUACGUUUCCCAGCACCUAUUUAACAUACAGGCAGCUCCAAAAUGCACCACAUGCCUGCGUUUCCCAGCACCUGUAUUUAGCUAAUGGGAGGCAGUGAAUGGAAGGCAGGGAAGGCUGAUGGAUGCUGUCCACUCAGAUCAAGAAAGUCAGCAGUUAUUUCCAACUGAACAUCUGGCUGUCAUGGGUUCUUGUCCACUUUUAGGGUCUCAGGGCUGGUACCCAAACUAAAGUGUGCCCGGCAAAGCAUCCACUUUCAAUAAACUCACAAAAGAAAUUCUCCCCUACGUUUCCAUGGUGAUGGUGGUACAAAGGGUGACCAACCAUCCUGGUUGGCCCAGGUCUGAGAGGAUUCCCUGAUUGAAGGACUUUCAGUGCUGAACUGGGAAAGUCCCAGACACACCAGGAUGGGUUGUUUACCCCAAGAGUAGGAGAUUGUCAUGGGUCCAGGUUAGGGGUGGGGAGUAGGGGCGUGUACAUCCAGUAAUUGGAGAGAAGAACUGAUUUGUCGGGCUCAGAUCAAUGCCUUAUGCUGCAGAGGAGGAUGGGUGCUUCCCUAUUCCUACCUCAAACAGACUCGGACCUCGCUACCCCAGGGGCACUUCUCAUCAAGCCCCCUCACCUCCUUGCAUUGUUCCCUCCAUACCUUUCCUUCUACCUCCUACGUCCAGUGCUCGGGUAGAAAAUCCACCCAGGCCCCACAGAAGAAUAACUUCUCAGGCUUCGCUACUAUGAAAAACCCAUACAACCCAUUCCAGAGCAACAUGAGGACCUUGCUGUGUGCAAAGUUUCAGUGAGUUGCCUUGUAACAGGCUCAAGGCAUUAAUGCUAAAAAGUGAGUCUCUAAUUGCAGAAUUGCAGAGCCUAUGCCAGGUCAAUUGAAAAAAUACUUUUUGGACUGAUGUCAUGGUGCUUUAGGGGAAGAAGUUGGUGUUCCACGGGGCGUUGGUACUGAAGAUGUGGUCCGGGUCACCCCUAGCUCUU